rnacentral:ncRNA from 2 species
AAUCACUAACCACACAGCCA